AAUGGCACUGCCCGGUAGCUAAAUGCGGAAGAGAUAAGUGCUGAAAGCAUCUAAGCACGAAACUUGCCCCGAGAUGAGUUCUCCCUGAGACUUAAAGUCUCCUGAAGGAACGUUGAAGACGACGACGUUGAUAGGCCGGGUGUGUAAGCGCAGCGAUGCGUUGAGCUAACCGGUACUAAUGAACCGUGAGGCUUAACCUUAC
rnacentral:rRNA from 1 species